rnacentral:lncRNA from 1 species
UCUUGCCCUUCCACCUAGUUUCCAUGUUAUGAUGCAGCAAGAAGGCCCUUGCCAGAUGUGGCUCCUGGAUUGUGGACUUUUCAGCCCCCAGAACUGUGAGCCAAACAAACUUCUUUUGUUCAUAACUUCCCCAGUCUGUGAUAUCCUGUUACAGCAGCAGAAAAUGGACUAAGACACCCAGGGAUGUACCUGGAACCUGGAAAAAGGGGCAGAUCUGCAUCACGGGCUUGCAUGUCCAAUUUCACCUUGGCACUUGCUUCUCCGAGGGUCUGGACAUGGGGCUUCGUUUGAGUCUGGAAGCAGUGGAGAGGGGCCAGAAGCUCCAGGCCUUGGCUUGGAGAUCUCUACAGGUGUGCAUGGAGAUGUUUGAAGUGCUAAUGGCUGAGACAGAGCAAGUGGCAGAGGCCUAGGAGACGGAGGCUGAAAGAGUCUGAGGAGGAAAGGAGGCACUGAGGGACUCACAUGAAGCUACUCUGUCAGCAUUCUAAAACUUCUGACAUUCUUUUCUAUGAAGAUAAUUGAAUCACCAAAUUUGAUGAAAUGUUCCCCAAAUAUCAGGUGAAAAAAACUCAUCUAAACCUUUGGACUUGGAAUUGCCCACAUAGACCACAUCAGCAAUGGAAGACAGAGCAAAUAACAUGUCGGUUCAAUGUAUGAAGGAGCUUUUCUUUCCCCUGCCCCAACCCUCAGACAGGUAAAUCUGUGAAAGCUCUAUUUUGAUUCUUUUUAAAUUAUUUGUUUUACAUGUUUUGUGUUUUAUGUUGGCUGAUUCCAAAUGGUUGAAAUAGUGGAGGUCCAACAACCAUUUUCACAGUGUAAUCUUCAGAAGUUCAUCCUUUGGGUUGUAAUUUCAUGAUAAGGAGGAGCAAGAAGAUGCUUUUUGUAACUCAAAUAGCAUCUUCUGAGAAAGGUCUCUAUUUUCACUUGUGUCUUAACUUACAACUGUGUUCAACUCUAUUUCCUUUCCUUGCUUUACAUUUUUUCUUAUGCACCUAUAAUUAUCCAAUUUACUAUAUAUUUUAUAUUUGUCUGUUAUUGUCUGUUUUCUCCACUAAAACAUAAACUUCUUGCAGGAUUUUUGUCUGUUUUUCUCACUGUUGAAUCCCAAAAGCAAAGAAGAAUACCUAGCAUAGAGUUAGUGUUCAAGAAACAUUUGCUAAAUGGAUGAACACCUCUUCAUUUUAUGAGAAAUGAAUCUUCCCCAAGAAGGGGCUCCCGGGUGCAUCUUGUGUGUAGACAUCUCUAUGUCCCCAGGCUGCUGUAGAGCUGAGUCAUCUUUGUGCCCACACCUGGGAAGCAGGACCCUUGUUCGUGUUUCUUUGGCCUUGGGCAUGUCAGUGAGUAAGGAGGAUGUGUGGGAUCUGUGUCCAUAUUUACGUAAGAAAGCAAUAUAGCCUACUGCCCCUUUCAUUUUCAGCAAGUGUGUGUUUACACUGGCCUGGGAUCUACUAUAAAGUUUAAUGUUUGGUUAUACAUUUAUUUCUCAGCUACUUUUGUGAAUAAACAUUUUCUAAAACAUAUCUAUUUUAAAAGUGACAAUGUUUGAAUGAAAGAAAGAGGAGGAGUGAAGCCUGGUAGUUAAUUUGCAGAACUUAGAGCCUGAAUUUUUUGGGUUGGAUCUUUGAUUUUACCAUUCAUUAGUUUUGUGAUCUUCCUCAAUUUCCCAAUCUGUAAAAUGGAAAUAAUAAUAGUACCUACCUCAUGGGAUGUCAAGAGUAAAUAUAAAAAAUGUGUGACACCCAGGAAUGACUAUAUAAGUACUAGCAGUUAAUAUUAUUUAUUAUUAUUAUUCCUGCUUGAAUAAUCACUUUGAGCUAAAUCACUUUGUUUUUACUACUAGCAAUAAGCAUGCUUAAAUACUUUUAAUGUUAUUAUAAUUUGUAUUAUAGUAGACUAAUCUGGAAUUUUAUUAAGCAGAAUUCCCUCUAGACAGGCAUCUAUGCAUACGGAGCAAAAAAUGAUGUAUAUAAUAAUAAGUUUGAGGCACUGAAAGAUCUUGAAUGAGCUUCUGAAUCAUCAGUUACUGUAUCUUUGGGGAACACCAGAGAAAGACUCUCCUUACCAUCCUCACUGCAACUAAACUUCGGGACCCUGGGCUUUGGGUUCAUGGUCUCGCCACUGAAAAGGUUCCCUCCACACUUUUGGAAUUGUGCACCCAUUGGAACCCUUGAGGUAAAGCUAACCAGAGAAAUUUCUCCCAAGAAGAAGAAGAUGGCAUCCUUGAAGUGAACAGCUUUUCCCAAGUUCACAGAAAGUUUGCAGCCAGCCUUAUACAUGGAUAACCUUCUACUUUGAUAGAGAUGAAGGCCCAAUGCAGCCAUCUCUAGAACAUCAAAUGGUCUCUCUUCGACUGGAAUGACAACAGCUGAAAGAAAUGUUCAACCAUGAGGACACCAUACCUAUAAAUGAUGUGCUGAGACUGGAAACCCAAAAUGUUGGUAACUGAGAAGUGGCACUAAGGCCCUAAGUUUUGGUUGCACACUCACCUAAGUGAGAACCUGACCAAAAAGGGGGGAUUUUUAAAACAAAACUCUGUGAGGCCAUUGUUUUGGACUAAGCUCAUGCACUCAUGCCCUGGGCCCCAACAGACUAAAGCAAACACAGAUGGAGUCAUUUGUGCUAAGACUUUAAGGAAACGCUUGGAUUCCACAACAGACUAGCUUUUGUUUUUUUCUUCUGCAAAUCUCUAUAACAAACAUUUCUGACAACAUAGGUAUCCACCCCCUGAAGUUCCCAUUAAAUCUUUUAACCAAAUUCAUUUCCUCUCACCUAGAGACCAUCAAGCUUCAGAUGAUGAUGCAACAAAGGUUUCAGCCAGUUCCAGGUGAAGACACCACCCUUGGACAUCAAGAAGCUACCCUGCCUCCACUAGAUAGAGCAGGGAGAGUUCUGUGAUCCCCAAUAGGGCCUUUGUAGACGCUAUCCCUUUGUGGAGAAGACUCUCAACACCCUUCAAAUACUAUGAUCUCAUCAGGAAGGCCCUCCCUGACCACCUAUGCCUGGAACUGUUCUGGGUUUGUGAGACACAGUUGGGAAGAAGACAGACUUGAGCACGGGCAGCGGUGGUUGCCAUGAAGAUGUGUGAGAAGACAGGCCUGCCUGAAAAUGCUGCUGGUCCUGGUAUUUCUCCACCUUCACGGGACCCUCCAAACCAGUGCCCACUGCUUUUCUCAGUCGGUCAUCCCCCUCUGUUCUCACUUCCCUUCUUGUCCAGCUUAGACACCAUAAUUCAUCACUCCAGUGGUCUGCAAACUAGGUGCCCAUCAGGUACAGGAAGACUUCCCAAGGGAGGACUUCCUUGCAAAGAAAGUUUUAAGGAAACUCUCAAUCAUAUAGAUUCUUUUUCUUAAGUAGGUCCACCUGAGAACUCACAGGUAUGUAUGGAGCCCCUUCACCUACUCUACAUGAGAAAGACACAUACCUCAUCCAUCCCGAAUCUUACUAUCAUGUAUGCAACUGGGCCGUAAAACCUUCAGAGUGCCAAAUAAAGUGAUGUGCCAAAGUAUUAGUUUUAGGAAAAUGUUCUUAAUAAUUAAUUGAAACACUUAGGACUUUCCUGGUUUUCCUGUCUUCUAUGUAUUUGGUCCUAUAAACAGUGUGUAUCUUUCCCAUGUUGGAAUGUUCUGGAGUCAGAUACGGGAUAGAAUGAUAUGGAAAGAAUAAUAAUCUUUUUUGUUUAAUUACUUUGACUCUUUUAUCUUUGGUCUGUUACCAAGGAAACUACUGCUCUGAAAGU